rnacentral:rRNA from 1 species
UAACGCGUGAGGAACCUGCCUUUCAGAGGGGGACAACAGUUGGAAACGACUGCUAAUACCGCAUGAAACAUUCGGAUCGCAUGGUUUGAAUGUCAAAGAUUUAUCGCUGAAAGAUGGCCUCGCGUCUGAUUAGCUAGUUGGUGAGGUAAAGGCUCACCAAGGCGACGAUCAGUAGCCGGACUGAGAGGUUGACCGGCCACAUUGGGACUGAGAUACGGCCCAGACUCCUACGGAAGGCAGCAG